AUAUAUAUAUAUAUAUAUAUAUAUAAAUAUAAUGACUUAAUUGGUGAAAAGUGACUUUGAAUUUGUGCUAUUUUGUUGUGAUUUUUUAUUUAUUAAAUGUGAUGCUGCUCUACAUAUAGUAAACGAACAGAUGUAACUUGUAGUAAAUGACUUUAUCUGCUCUGAAUGAAAAAACUGACUAGUGAUCUUGGAGUUUUGUAGUAAAGAGCAAUUUAAAAUCUAUUGGCUACCUUCAAACUGACUGUAAAGAUCACAGCGCUCCGCAGAAUCCAGUAAUAAUCCUACAGUUAAAAGCCUGAGACACUCUCAUGAACAGAGACUGGUUUCAGCAGCUGGAGGAGGAUUAGGGCGUGUCUUUGUCAACAGGUAGAUUGUGAAAGUGAAACUGUUGCUGUAAUGUUCUCCUUUCAAUCUUUAAUAACUCUCGUAUCAACAUUUUGUUAAUAUCAAAUGAUCAUAUAAAUAAUUUAUUCAGAAACUCCUGUGAACACAUCAAUGCUCAGCUGAAGAGAUGAAGUGUCAUUUGUUUGACUUUGCUGAUUAUUAGUGGAAUUACAGAUUCAAUAUCAGAGCGGUAUGAAGUCGUGGGAUCUGCAGAUCCUGUUCUUGCUGUAGCUGGUGAAGCUGUGAUUCUGCCCUGUUCAG